UUGACAGCCCCAAAGACUGAAGUGCUCUUUUAAACCACAGAACAGGUACAUCACAAACAGUGGCUUGUGCAGAUUUUUCCCACGCUGUCUCAAUAAUAUGCUUCGAAUGCAUUCGUUUGGAGACCGAGAGGGUUGUUUUUUCUCCUUCCUGCCCAUUCAACCUUUAGAUUUC
ensembl:misc_RNA